rnacentral:rRNA from 1 species
CGAACGGGUGAGUAACGCGUGGGGAAUCUGCCUUUGAGCGGGGGACAACAUUUGGAAACGAAUGCUAAUACCGCAUAAAAACUUUAAAACAACAAGUUUUAAGUUUGAAAGAUGCAAUUGCAUCACUCAAAGAUGAUCCCGCGUUGUAUUAGCUAGUUGGUGAGGUAAAGGCUCACCAAGGCGAUGAUACAUAGCCGACCUGAGAGGGUGAUCGGCCACAUUGGGACUGAGACACGGCCCAAACUCCUACGGGAGGCAGCAUG